rnacentral:lncRNA from 1 species
UUCUGGGGCAAAUGUUGGUGGGAAUUUGGGAAUUUGGGGGGAAUUUGGGAGAAUUUGGGGGAAAUUGGGAAUUCUGGGGAAAAUUUGCAGGUUUUGGUGGAAAUUUGGGGAGAAUUUUGGGAAAUUUGGGAAUUCUGGGGAAAAUUGGGGAAUUUUGAGGAAAAUUUGGGAAUUCUGGGGAAAAUUUGGGGAAAUUUUGGGGGGAAUUUAGAAAUUCUGGGGAAAAUUUGGGAAUUUUGGGGGAAUUUUGAAGGAAAAUUUGGGAAUUUGGGGAAAUUUUGGGAAAAUUUUGGGGAAAUUUUGAGGGAAAUUUGGGGAAUUUUUUUGAAAUUUGGGGAAUUUUAGAGGAAAUAUGGGGGGAAUUUUGGGGAAAAUGUGGGGAAAUUUUGAGGGAAAAUUUGGGAAUUUUUCAGAAAUUUGGGAAAAAUUUUUGGGAAACUUAGGGAAAAUUUUGGGGGGGUUUGGGGAAAUUUUGGGGGUGAAAUUUGAGGGUCCUGGGGGGAUCCUUGGGGGAAUUUUGGGGAGGAAUUAUGGGGGAUUUUGGGGAAAAUUCUGAGGGUGCUGAGGGGAAAUUUGGGGAGGAAUUUUGGGGGGUUUGGGAGGAAUUUUGGGGGUCUUGGAGGGAUUUUGGGGGGGUCCUGGGAGAGAAUUUUGGGGGAAAUUUGGGGGUUCUGGGGGGAUUUUGGGGGUGGAAUUUGGGGGAAUUUGGGGAGAAUUUUGGGGGGAAUUUGGGGGUCCUGGGGGGAAAUUUUGGGAGAUUUUGUGGGGGGAUUUUGGGGUUCCAGUGGGGUUUUGGGCUGGAAUUUUGGGGGGAUUUUUUUGGGGGGGGGUCCCUGCUGUAUCCCCGCCCCUCCCCCACCCUUUUUCUGACCCCUUCCCUCCCCCCCCAGGUGCGGUCGAUCCGGGGCUCCCAGCGCUGCCCCUCCCCCCCCCAACCCCUCAGGAUGGGGGAGGGGGGAGCCCCCCGCCCCUCCCCCACCCCCCCUCCCCCCUCCCCCACCCCCCCGCCCCUCCCCCACCCCCCAAAUCCGAGCUCUUCCUGCUGGAGAUCGAAUCCUUCCCCCUGGAACCGGGGGAGACCCCUCCCCCCUCCCCCCUGCCCUCCCCCCUCCCCUCCCCCACCCCCUCCCCUCCCCCCGCUCUGGGAGGCUCCGAGGCCACGCCCAAGGCCACGCCCCCCUCGCGCUGCCCCUCCCCCCUCGGCGGGGGAGGGACCCCGGGACCCCCCCCCAAAAAACGGAGCCGGAGCGAGCGGCGAGGGGGGGACAGCCUGGCCGUACCCGGGAGCCCCCCGGGGGGGGAGGGGCCGGAUCUGGGGGUCCCCCCCUCGCCCCCCCCCCGGCCCAGCCCCCUCCCCGACUCCACCCGCGCCGACUCCCCCGGGGGGGACCUGGUCAGCUCCUCCCAGGGCAGCCCCCCCAGGACAGCCCCCCGGGCCUGCAAGACCAGCGUGGGCACCCAGUGCGACCCCGAGGAGAUCAUCGUGCUCUCGGACUCGGAUUAGCCCCGCCCCUUUGGCCACGCCCACCGCCUGACCACGCCCAUUUCUGCUCAGACCCCGCCCCUUUUCUCCAAAACCCCACCCCCUUUCCUCCCAAACCCCGCCCCCUCCGCGCUGCCCCCCUCAAUAAACCCCGCCUUUUCGUACGGAAC